UAUUUACCAUUCAGUGCUGGUCCACGUAACUGCAUCGGUCAACGAUUUGCUAUGCUGGAAAUGAAGGCGAUGAUAGCUCCUUUGGUACACAAUUUUUACUUGGAGCCCAUUGAUUAUUUAAAGAACCUUCAGCCGAAGCUUGAUUUGGUAAUUCGCGUUGAUCAACUUCGUAUAAAAUUCAUCUCUGUCUGUAAAAUUAAUUUACGCCUUUGAAGCAAAUACCGAGUUAAUGAACAUCGUAAAAGACAAAGAAAAGGUUAUUAUUCUAUUAACUUACAAAGUGAUUGUCAAUAGCGUCGUAAUAGUAACACUUUGCACACGUGUCAUUAUCGGUCACAACAUUGAAAUAUAAAUGAAAUGUAACAAAUAUAUAAAAUAUAUAUUAAAUAAACAAUUAUUUUACUAUA